CCUACGGGCGGCUGCAGUGAGGAAUCUUGGUCAAUGGGCGGAAGCCUGAACCAGCCAAGUAGCGUGCGGGAUGAAGGCCCUACGGGUCGUAAACCGCUUUUUCACGGGGAUAACACCCUCCUCUGUUGGAGGUCUGCAGGUACCGUGCGAAUAACGGCCGGCUUAUUCCGUGCCAGCAGCCGCGGUAAUACGGAAGGCCCUAGCGUUAACCGGAUUUAUUGGGGUUAACGGGGGCGUAGGCGGAAUGCCCAGUCAGCGGUAAAAGCGCGGGGGUAAACCGCGCUCCGCCGUUGAAACUGGCGUUCUUGAGUGGGCGAGAGGUAUGCGGAAUGCGUGGUGUAGCGGUGAAAUGCAUAGAUAUCACGAAGAACUCCGAUUGCGAAGGCAGCAUACCGGCGCCCAACUGACGCUGAAGCACGAAAGCGUGGGUAUCGAACAGGAUUAGAUACCCCUGUAGUC
rnacentral:rRNA from 1 species